rnacentral:misc_RNA from 1 species
AACCUAGCACACCUGCGGUGUGUACCUGCGGAGGGAUCAUUACACAAAUAACAUAUGAAGGCUGUACGCGGCUGUGCCCUUUGGGUGCAGCGUCUGCUGAGGCUGGAUUAUUUAUUUUUCACCCUUGUCUUUUGCGCACUUGUUGUUUCCUGGGCGGGUUCGCCCGCCACCAGGACCACAUGAUAAACCUUUUUUAUGCAGUUGCAAUCAGCGUCAGUACAACAAAAUGUAAAUCAUUUA